rnacentral:tRNA from 1 species
GAAGAUAUAGCUCAGUGGUAGAGUGCAUGCCUAGCAUGCAUGAGGUCCUGGGUUCAAUCCCCAGGACCUCCA